AGAUUAAGCCAUGCAUGUCUAAGUAUAAGCAAAUUUAUACAGUGAAACUGCGAAUGGCUCAUUAAAUCAGUUAUAGUUUAUUUGAUGAUGUUUGCUACAUGGAUAACUGUGGUAAUUCUAGAGCUAAUACAUGCUAUACAAGCCCCGACUUCGGAAGGGGUGUAUUUAUUAGGUAAAAUCCAUCGGUACUUGUGCCUUUGGGGAGUCAUAAUAACUGCACGAAUCGCAU
rnacentral:rRNA from 1 species